AGAGUAUAGCUCAGUGGUAGAGCGCAUGUUUGGCAUGCAUGAGGUCCUGGGUUCAAUCCCCAGUGCCUCCA
rnacentral:tRNA from 1 species